rnacentral:piRNA from 1 species
UUGUCUUUACAGAAGGGAACAUUGAGACCCA